GUUAAGCGAGACGGUACCUUUCCAAAGCUGCUUGGUGAUUCCAAUGGCGAGCAAAGCUGCUGGCUCUUCAUCAUCUGCUUCUCUGGAACAAGGAUUUGAAGAGGAAGAUGAGUUGUUGACGAUGAUACAGGGUUCGGAGUCAGGUUGGGUCGAGGCCCGAACAUCUUGUGAUCACUUGGGUUGGCUAUCCUCCGAUCUCUCUCACAUCCCAACUCCUGAUAAUCCCUGCAACAGGUGCCACCAUCCUAGUGAAAAUUGGCUUUGCUUGUCAUGUAAGGAUGUUCUUUGCAGCCGUUUUGUGAAUAAGCAUAUGCUGCAACAUUAUCAUCAAAUGAAUCAUUGUGUAGCUCUCAGCUAUAGUGACCUGUCAGUCUGGUGUUUUGCCUGUGAUGCAUAUUUAGAUGCCCAGGUGAUUAUGCAGUUGAGGCCUGUGUACGAGACCGCUUACAUCCUGAAAUUUGGCGAGGCACCUCCUUUUCGUGCCGUUGAGGUUCCACAAGAUAGCA
rnacentral:misc_RNA from 1 species